AAUUUCCACAUAGAACACAAUGUUUAUUAAAGGACACAUCCCUGACUGCCUGUACGCUGCACAGAAGCCUCACUUCCUGUCCUUGGUCAGCUGCCACCAUCUUUACAGAGGAAAGAGCAUGUGCAAAGGCCCUGAGGUGGGAGUAUGGAGACCAAGGAAGGCAAGUGCCUGGGAUACAGUGAGAAAGGGGAAAGGAAGAGCUCAGGAGGAGGAGGGCAUCCGGUAAGGAUUCUGGCUUUCACUCUAGGUGAUAUGCAGGUCUAGCUAACUCCAAUUUUCACAGUCUGAUGAAUAAUUGUCCAACAAUUAAUAAUUGUCCAAUAAUGAUAAUAUGAUUGGCAUGCUCCUGGGUGCAUCUGAGUAGCUGGACAGCCAGAGGACUCGCCCCUGGGAGAUAAAGGUAUCACUGAUAUAUGGGAUAUCAUUUGCCAGAUGAGACAGUGAGAAAAUGCCUCUUCCAAGAUCCAGGCUCUCUGAAGAGCUAUCUUAUCUGUGAAAAUCCUCAGCACUACAAGGUGACCUCCAAGCAAGGAUUUUUAGAGAGAGG
rnacentral:lncRNA from 1 species